rnacentral:rRNA from 1 species
GACGAACGCUGGCGGCGUGCCUAAUACAUGCAAGUCGAACGCAGUGGGGACGGGUGAGUAACACGUGGGUAACCUCCCAUCAGAGGGGAUAACACUUUGAAACAGGUGCUCAACCGAUACUGCUGGAUGGACCCGAGGUGCAUUAGCUAGUUGGCGGGGUAACGGCUCACCAAGGCCACGAUGGAUAGCCGACCGGGGAGGGAGGUCGGCCACACUGGGACGGAGACACGGCCCAGACUCCUACGGGAGGCAGCAGUAGGGAAUGUUCGGCAAUGGACGAAAGUCUGACCGAGCAACGCCGCGGGAGUGAAGAAGGUUUUCGGAUCGUAAAGCACUGUUGUUAGGGGAGCGGUAUCUAACCAGAAAGCCACGGCUAACUACGUGCCAGCAGCCGCGGUAAUAC